rnacentral:rRNA from 1 species
UACAGAGGGGGCAAGCGUUGUUCGGAAUUACUGGGCGUAAAGGGCGCGUAGGCGGCCGCCUAAGUCAGACGUGAAAUCCCUCGGCUCAACCGGGGAACUGCGUCCGAUACUGGUGGGCUCGAGUGCAGGAGAGGAACGCGGAAUUCCAGGUGUAGCGGUGAAAUGCGUAGAUAUCUGGAGGAACACCGGUGGCGAAGGCGGCGUUCUGGACUGCAACUGACACUGAGGAACGAAAGCCAGGGGAGCAAACGGG